rnacentral:rRNA from 1 species
GACGAACCGUGCGAACGUUGUUCGGAAUCACUGGGCUUAAAGGGCGCGUAGGCGGGCUGACAAGUCUGGGGUGAAAUGCCGCGGCUCAACCGUGGAACUGCCUUAGAUACUGUCGGCCUCGAGGAAGGUAGGGGCAUGCGGAACUGUAGGUGGAGCGGUGAAAUGCGUUGAUAUCUACAGGAACUCCGGUGGCGAAAGCGGCGUGCUGGACCUUUUCUGACGCUGAGGCGCGAAAGCUAGGGGAGCAAACAGG